GUCCCAUGCAUAAAUCAUUCUCUUGUUGUUUGUCUGUAUUAGUCUGUUUAGUGUAACAGGGAAUGACCCUACGACAAUUUAGCCAUGAACCUUGAUGAGUGCAGGUCAAUUAUUAGAAUGUUAAGAGUGGCCUCUUGAUUAAAAUGC